rnacentral:lncRNA from 1 species
AUAGACUGAGUGGCUUAUCCCACCAUUCUUGCAAGAUGAAAGUUCAGAAGAAAGCUAUAGGAAUGUCUAUUGUUUUGCAGCAUCUCUCUUGGGUUUGCCAGUGGUUGUCCUAUCACUAAUGGUCUGUUGGCCAUUUUAUAUACACACACAUUCCAUUCUUCCUACUGUAGGCUCACCAGUAUUAUUAAGUUUGGGCCCAUGCUUAAAGAAGAACUGAAAAUGGAAACAAAAAAAAACAAACCCCAAAUCCUAAUGAAUAAUGUACAAUGUCUCCAUCAUUCAGUCAUUGGUGGCUGGGAUAUUUACUACUACCAACACCAGAGAAGCAUUCAUAAAUCUAUGCAUAUUAGGAUAACCUAUACUCAAAUUAAGUGUUAUUCUCAGUAAUUAUAUAAUAUUCAUUUUUUGGAACUUUCCAGAGAGACUAAUGAGUCAACUGUGCAUUUUACUCUCUAAUUCUCUAGUUUUAUAAUCAUUCAUCUGUCUCUCUCUCUCUCUCUCAUUUUUUGCUAUUUCAAAAGGCUUCAUUUUUACUUGGUCCAAGACUUGGGAGAGGCUCUUUGAACAAUGCACUGUUUGUUUACUUUUUAGCAAUGUUUGAAAUUCAAGGAAUUUUCUUACCUGUAUGACUUGCUGUUUUAGUGAUUAAAAAAAAAAAUACAGAUUUGUUUUUCCAUUUUUAGAAAUCAUGCUAGUUUUGUACCAUGGUUUUUCAGCAAUAUAACAUGGAGCUAAGAUCAAA